rnacentral:rRNA from 1 species
AUAUAAGACGAGAAGACCCCAUGGAGCUUUAAACCCAACAACACCCGCCCCCCUCCAAAUCCUAUUAUUUACCCGGUGAUUGUUUGUUUGGUUUUAGGUUGGGGUGACCGCGGAGUAUAAGAUAUCCUCCAUGAAAAAAAGCUAACUGCCCUUAUUAGAGAAAGACACUUCCAAAAAAUAAUAAAUUAAUUUUAAAUGAUCCGACAUUCGAUCAACGAACCAAGUUACCCUGGGGAUAACAGCGCAAUCCGUCCCGAGAGCCCCUAUCGACAG